rnacentral:rRNA from 1 species
CAAUAGCGUAUAUUAAAGUUGUUGCAGUUAAAAAGCUCGUAGUUGGAUUUCUGGUCGGAAGCCCCUGUCCUCUGAUGAGCGUACAAGUGCGUCCUACCAUCCUUCUGUUAACCUUUAAGGCUUUCGCGGCUUUCUAGGGGCUCAGAUAUUUUACCUUGAGAAAAUUAGAGUGUUUCAGGCAGGCUAGCGCCGGAAUACAUUAGCAUGGAAUAAUGGAAUAGGACUUUUGCCUCUUCUGUUGGUCAUGAGGCUCGAGUAAUGAUUAAUAGGGAUAGUUGGGGGCAUUAGUACUUAACUGUCAGAGGUGAAAUUCUCGGAUUUGUUAAAGACUAACUUAUGCGAAAGCAUUUGCCAAGGAUGUUUUCAUUA